rnacentral:rRNA from 1 species
AUUAGUGGCGACGGGUGAGUAACACGUGGGCAAUCUGCCCUUCACUCUGGGACAAGCCCUGGAAACGGGGUCUAAUACCGGAUAACACCGGCUUCCGCAUGGGAGCUGGUUAAAAGCUCCGGCGGUGAAGGAUGAGCCCGCGGCCUAUCAGCUUGUUGGUGGGGUAAUGGCCUACCAAGGCGACGACGGGUAGCCGGCCUGAGAGGGCGACCGGCCACACUGGGACUGAGACACGGCCCAGACUCCUACGGGAGGCAGCAGUGGGGAAUAUUGCACAAUGGGCGAAAGCCUGAUGCAGCGACGCCGCGUGAGGGAUGACGGCCUUCGGGUUGUAAACCUCUUUCAGCAGGGAAGAAGCGAAAGUGACGGUACCUGCAGAAGAAGCGCCGGCUAACUACGUGCCAGCAGCCGCGGUAAUACGUAGGGCGCAAGCGUUGUCCGGAAUUAUUGGGCGUAAAGAGCUCGUAGGCGGCUUGUCACGUCGGGUGUGAAAGCCCGGGGCUUAACCCCGGGUCUGCAUCCGAUACGGGCAGGCUAGAGUGUGGUAGGGGAGAUCGGAAUUCCUGGUGUAGCGGUGAAAUGCGCAGAUAUCAGGAGGAACACCGGUGGCGAAGGCGGAUCUCUGGGCCAUUACUGACGCUGAGGAGCGAAAGCGUGGGGAGCGAACAGGAUUAGAUACCCUGGUAGUCCACGCCGUAAACGUUGGGAACUAUGUGUUGGCGACAUUCCACGUCGUCGUGCCGCAGCUAACGCAUUAAGUUCCCCGCCUGGGGAGUACGGCCGCAGCUAAACUCAAGAUGACGGGGCCGCACAGCAGCGAGCAUGUGCUAUCGACGCACGCGAGACUACA